rnacentral:rRNA from 1 species
CUAGCGACAGGCCUAACACAUGCAAGUCGAGGGGCAGCACAAGGAGCAAUCUGAGGUGGCGACCGGCGCACGGGUGAGUAACACGUAUGCAACCUGCCUGUAAGCGGGGAAUAACCCGUUGAAAGACGGACUAAUACCGCAUAAUACUAAAUUACUGCAUGGUAAUUUAUUUAAACAUUUAUGGCUUACAGAUGGGCAUGCGCAUGAUUAGCUAGUUGGAGAGGUAACGGCUCCCCAAGGCAACGAUCAUUAGGGGUUCUGAGAGGAAGGUCCCCCACACUGGUACUGAGACACGGACCAGACUCCUACGGGAGGCAGCAGUGAGGAAUAUUGGUCAAUGGACGAGAGUCUGAACCAGCCAAGUCGCGUGCAGGAAGAAUGUCCUUAAUGGAUUGUAAACUGCUUUUGCAGGGGAAUAAAGUGCAUCACGUGUGAUGUUUUGUAUGUACUCUGCGAAUAAGGAUCGGCUAACUCCGUGCCAGCAGCAGC